rnacentral:rRNA from 1 species
AUUAAAGUUGUUGCAGUUAAAAAGCUCGUAGUUGGACUUGUGUGCGCUGUCCGCGGGUGGCCUGCGCCCAAAAGGGCGUUUCGGUUCGGCCCCGGUGGCGCCUUGAAAUCUGCAGCUGGGGGGACGUUGGCCUUAACUGGUCGGCGACCGCACGCCGGCUGCUCGGUUACUGUGAGAAAAUUAGAGUGUUCAAGGCAGGCAUUGGGUGCAAUUGAAUACAUUAGCAUGGAAUAAUAAAAUAUGGCUCCUGCCGUAUUUUGUUGGUUUUGACUGGUGGGAGUAAUGAUUGAUAGGGACGGUUGGGGGUGCUAGUAUUGAGCGGCCAGAGGUGAAAUUCAUGGAUUCGCUCAAGACUAACUUAUGCGAAAGCAUUCACCAAGGACGUCCUCUUUAAUCAAGAACGAAAGUUGGGGGAUCGAAGACGAUCAGAUACCGUCGUAGUCUCAACCAUAAACUAUGUCGACUUGGGAUCGGCGGUAGUUUUUUCAUUAAGACACUGUCGGGACCACGGGAGAAAUCAAAGUGUCUGGACUCUGGGGGAAGUAUGGUCGCAAGGCUGAAACUUGAAGGAAUUGACGGAAGGGCACCACCAGGAGUGGAGCCUGCGGCUUAAUUUGACACAACACGGGGAAACUUACCAGGUCCAGAGAUGUAGAGGAUUGACAGAUUGAAGCUCUUUCUUGAUCACUUCGGUGGUGGUGCAUGGCCGUUCUUAGUUGGUGGAGUGGUUUGUCUGGUUAAUUCCGUUAACGAACGAGACCUCAGCCUGCUAGUGUAGUCGGCUGGAUUGCCUUUGGCGAUCCGUGAUUUCGACUUCUUAGAGGGACAAUCGACGCGCAGUCGAUGGAAGUUUGAGGCAAUAACAGGUCUGUGAUGCCCUUAGAUGUUCUGGGCCGCACGCGCGCUACACUGCUGGGCUCAGCGAGUUUUACUUGGCCGAGAGGCCCGGUUAAUCUUGUGAAAUCCCAGCGUGCUUGGGCUCGCCUCCUGCAACUGGAGGCGCCAACGAGGAAUUCCUAGUAGACGCAGGUCAUCAACCUGCAUCGAUUACGUCCCUGCCCUUUGUACACACCGCCCGUCGUUCCAUAAGAGUGAGGCAUCCGGUGAAUUCUCGGGAGAGCCUGGGCGUGGCCAGCAAUGGUCUGCUCGGGUUUGAACUUGCAUAAACUUGGUGCCUAUGAUUAGGG